UACAGAGGUGGCAAGCGUUGUUCGGAAUUACUGGGCGUAAAGGGCGCGUAGGCGGUCCCGUCAGUCCCUUGUGAAAUCCCCCGGCUCAACUGGGGAACUGCAAGGGAUACAGCGGGGCUUGAGUUCGGGAGAGGGAAGCGGAAUUCCGGGUGUAGCGGUGAAAUGCGUAGAUAUCAGGAGGAACACCAGUGGCGAAGGCGACUACCUGGCCUGUUCAUGACGCUGAGGCGCGAAAGCUAGGGGAGCAAACGGGA
rnacentral:rRNA from 1 species